CAGCCCCGGAGAGGCUGGCACCGAGACACCUCCCGCCGCCUUUGCUGAGGAGCCGGGGCGUUUCCCCGACGGUCACUUAGAACGGGAGCAAAGAUGUGCGGGCGGCACGGGAGGGCUCUGCCAGCCGCCUCGGGACCCGGUUUCCUACGUUACCAACCCCCGCCCGUGACGGGGCCCUUGGCCAGGCCUCAGCUUGCUCCUGUGGUUCAGGAUGAGUCAGUUCAAAAAUUACAGCUCCCCCUGUGAGCAGCAACACUUCAGUACACCUGUGACACAAGUGCCAAAUGAAGAGCAGAAGUGAUCACAACAGAAAGAACAUUUCCUUCUGUCAGUCUCUGUCUUUAAUUCCAAAGCAACAGUGCUGCAGCCAAGGUUUAACAAAAUGGUUGAGCUAAUCCUGCUAUUCACAGGUGACUGUUCACCUGCUCCAUCACAGACCCUUGUCUGACACCUUGCUGAGCUGUUUCAGCUGGCCAAAGCUGCAGCAAAGACUCAGCUCUUUAGGAGAGUGUAACUGGGAGCAGCAGUUUGGGGCAGAUCGCUGAGCAGCUCCCUCUCACACCUAUGCUACUGUUACAGCCAGCACCUACUGAAAAGAGCAGCCUCGCUUCACCUCCCUUCCUGUGGGUGGUGCCUUCCUGUCUCCUCCUUUGUACAGCUUUCCUGCUUUCAGCAACUUAGCUUUCUGAACUGGACCACACAAGAGCCACUGCUGGCAUCGGGAAAGGAAGAGGAAGUCCCAGCCUGGAAGAAGAAGGAGGAUAAGAUCAGGAUGGCUCCCCUUUUGCCUAGACUGCCAUUAGCUCUACCUUAGCUGCCAAGUGAAGCCACACACUGACCCCAGCAGCACGCAGAACCAGGUACAUUAGCCCAUUUCCUUCAAGGGAAAUAAUGAAGUCCAUGGGGUAAACUCCAGGCCUGUGGGCAGGGUAAGGUCUGUGCUAGUUAAUUCUUGCCUUGGACAUGAGUUAAGAACAACCACAACAACGCUUUUUUGCUACUUCAAGCUACAUUGCAAGCUCUGUUAAUGCCACAAUUUGCCUGUGGUACUGGUAGGUAGAAAUGCUUCUUUCUGUGACUUUGCAGUCACAUCACUCUAUAAACAGUAGUGAUUUCAGAUAAAGAAAAUGGAAAAUCUGAGCCUUAGAAGGUCUUCGACCUGACCUCAGCCCUUCUACUUGGCUUGAAUACUUGCACUGUAAAUUAUUACUCCCUGUAAUACUCAACAUACAUGUAUUGCAGGCUACCCCCAUGCUGGAGGGCACAAAAAUCACCCACUACACUUUUAAAGAAACAUCUUUACUCUGAAGGAAGAAAGAUCAGACCGUGAUGCAUGACAAGAGGAAAAAAAAAUCCCACAAAAGCCUGCAAACAUACUCCCCAAGGCUCAAAAAGAUUUCUGCCUCAAUGAGACAUUUUGCAAACAUGCUAAGGCUACAAAAUGUCCAAGUUGACAAAGACAUGCAACGCUGACCAUUCAAUAAGUCACAGCUAUCACAGGAACAACUGUGUCCCCCGGGCCACAGGUCCCCAAAACAGGGAUGGUGUACAGUGAUCAUGGCAACGCACUACACAGGACCCAGUAACCUGAGGUAGGUCAUUUACAGUAAGAAAACCAUGUCCUACACCAGUGUUACAUCCUGAUCAACAGGAACCCCUCUAAGGUUCCAGAAGAUGUGGGGUCGAGGACUGCUUCCUUAACAAGUGUGCAAGAAAGAAACAGGAAAUAUCUAUGUUGAUUAAUCUUAGUUUAAGUGAGCAGAACAAAGAGUUAGUGUUACCCAUGCCAGUGAAAGCCAACCUAAACCUCUGAGGAGUGUUAGCAGCUUCAAGAUAAAGAGUCAGUCAGCUGAAGCAACUCUGAAACGGCUUUCCUGCCAGCAUACAGGGUACAAUUUGAACCUUAUGAUUAAUUUGUUACAGAUCAUUCCACAAACAGUACAAUUUUGGUUGUGUUAGAUCAGCGAAGCAGGAAGAGCUUGGGCUUGCUUGCAUCAAAAUAAACUCCGCUGAUACAGUAAGAAAUACUGUGUCAGGACACUGAGAAAAUACAAGGCCUUAAUGUGACCCAGGAGUGGUUCUCCAUUCAGAUCACUAAAAACCCUGCUUUGGAAAAGCAUCAUGGGAAGCAGCAGCCGCUGCCGUGGUGAACAUCAGCGAUGGCCCAGCUAGCUCUGAUAAAUUACAAUGCAAUAGUUACACCACAGAGCUCCUCUCUGCUGCGCUAGACAAAGAUGUGACAAUAAAGGACACUAUUGCAAAGCUUCACUUCCACUCAGACACGCAGAAAAUCCGGCACUAGGAAAAGACGAACUGUACAAGACAAAACCCUGUCUGAUACAGCCCGAUAAAGCCAGAUCUCUGGUACCAUAAACUGUACAAAAAUGAUAGAAAAGAAUAUGCACUGUUAUUAAUACAGUGCUUAUUUUAAUAUAAAAUAAACAGCUUACAUUUCCACUGUAAAUAUAGGCUAUAUACAGAAUUAUGUAUAGAUAUAGCUACAUGUAUAAAGCUUCAUUAUAGGCCUCUGAUACAUUUAUAACUAUGGCUCCCUGAGCCAUUUGUAGAGUGCAUUUAAUAAGAAAAAAUUAGUAGUAUGGAAUAAAUAUAUAAUAAAAACAUGAGUUCUUCUGA